rnacentral:rRNA from 1 species
GACGAACGCUGGCGGCGUGCUCAACACAUGCAAGUCGAACGGUGAUGCUCCAGCUUGCUGGAGUGGAUCAGUGGCGAACGGGUGAGUAACACGUGAGCAACCUGCCCCAGACUCUGGAAUAAGCGCUGGAAACGGCGUCUAAUACUGGAUACGAAACUGGCCCGCAUGGGCAUGGUUUGGAAAGUUUUUCGGUUUGGGAUGGGCUCGCGGCCUAUCAGCUUGUUGGUGAGGUAAUGGCUCACCAAGGCGACGACGGGUAGCCGGCCUGAGAGGGCGACCGGCCACACUGGGACUGAGACACGGCCCAGACUCCUACGGGAGGCAGCAGUGGGGAAUAUUGCACAAUGGGCGAAAGCCUGAUGCAGCGACGCCGCGUGAGGGAUGACGGCCUUCGGGUUGUAAACCUCUUUCAGCAGGGAAGAAGCGAAAGUGACGGUACCUGCAGAAGAAGCACCGGCUAACUACGUG